GACAAAGUUAACUGAAAUACGGGCAACAGGCUAACCUCUACUGACUGUGCUCCAGCAUUGUGGCAUCAGGUCCUAUGGGACUGAAACAACAUCAGCUCAAUAUUAGAUCUACUACUUGUAAACAAUUAUCCAAACAGUGAAUUGCAGAUGCAAGGCCCAAUCAACUGUGCAGGAAGUCAUAGCCCUGAUGCGUAGAAGAGUGUUGAUGGAAGAAGAUCCGUAGGACUGGAAGGGAAAGCAGAAACAGAAUUGGGCAAGCUC